UAUUUCCUUCCCCAAAUCAAAACCCCAACACAUCCUAAAUCUCAAUUUUAUUUCACCUUAAAAAUCAAGACCCUGCUAAAUUGUAAUCAGUAAGAAUACAGUGAGUGAUGGAUUCAAGAUGUAGUUUUGUAUGGGAUUCCGGUGGAGGAUGGAAUUUUCGGUGGAAAUACAAAGACAACAACGUUAUGGUAUCUCCUCUCAAAACUAAGUAAUCACCCCAAGAAUGGAUUCGGGCCUCGAUCAAUCGACAAUGAUUAUUAUUAUGAUGGAUUGAUGGGAUGAUGAAUGGUGUAAUUUCCCAUGGCAUUAUAAUAUGCUCACAAUCAUGAUCACCACUGAACACCGAGACAAUGGGAGAGGCUCAACACUUACUCAAAUCCCAAUAGAGUUGUCAUUCUAUCUGGUUUUACUGGGUUAUAUAAAAGGUUUCAUACGAGAUUGUGAAGACAUGUUUAAUGAUACAUGUGUUCAAACUGUGAGAAUUAAGGUGUAUGGAGGAACACUUCUAUUCUGGCUGCUUCGUAUCCUGUUGAAUACUAGUCAACACAAUGCAUCCACAAAGCCUCAUGCACUCUUCCGUUCAACGUCAUGUGUCCUUAUAUGAGGGUACUAUUACCCGAAGAGGAAAGUUAAGGAGAAGGCUAGAAACCAGAAUAUAUUCUGUUCAGUUCCAAAUAAGCAAUAGCAUUUCCCAUCUAAAUCCUAGUUCAUAUCUCUCUCAAAUCAAACCCCUUACAAACCCUGAUUCUCAUUUAAACUUUUUCCGACCAAGACCUUUAAGUAAUCUAGUGAUGGGUUCCCAAUUGAGUUUCGGUGUUGUAUGGGAUUUCGGUGGAGCAACCUUUACUCACAUUUCCUCCCAAAACUAAGAUGAUGCUACAGAGCUGCUUUGAUAGUGUAAAGCACCGUCCCUGAUUGUCCCAAAAUGGCACAAAGAUCCUGAGAACGGACAAGUACACGGAUAAAAUAUGGACUUAAUUUUGAAUUGUGCAGAAAAAAUAAGUGUAUGUCACUAAUUUUGAAACUCAAAACAGGAUAGACUCUGUACUAAAAAAAAGUGUUUAUAUGCAUGUAUUUGUUAGAAAUUGAAAUAAUUUUAACUUUGAGUAAUAUUUGCGGAGAUAUACGAGCAUAGUGAUGUUGCUCGUAUAUAGCUCCUAGAAUUCUAUUAGUGAAGGUGGUGAAGCAAGGACUUUGUAACUUGAAGUUUCUAAUUGUAUUGAUACUUGCUUGCUUACAAAUGGUGUACAAGAUGCCUAUUUAUAGGCUUACAUAAACCAUUAGUUCUUUCCAUAUUCUUCUAGAAUUCUCCUAUCUAGAAUAUUCUUUUACAAUUGAUAUAAACUAGUGUUCUCUAGAUUCUUCUAAUCUAGAACAUUCCUUUGGACAAUAACAACUUUUAAUCUCAACCAACUUUGGCAACUCUAGUAUAUUCUAGAGUACUUAUUUUCUACACUUCUCUACAUUUGUCUAGAUCAUUCUAGACCAUUGUAAAUUACAUGUUCCAACACCCUCUCUUAAUUUGUAAUGGUCUCUUAUUUUGAUCUCACCCAAUCCUAACUCGCCCUUAGCUGCUUA